AGUUUUUGUUGUUUGCAGGGUUUGAGUCUGCCUACAACUGCUCAUUUGAGUCUUGGUAUUUAUCACAAUUCCUGAUUAUUGGUGGCUCCAAAAGAUAUUGAAUUUGUGUACAAUUUUUCUCUGUUCAAAUUCCUAUGACUCAAUUAUUUAUACUGUUGGUUGUGGACUGAGCAUUAAAGAAAGAUAUUGGACCUUUUCCAUGCAUGAAUCUACACAUAUAUUUUGAUAUAUAUCUUCUGUUUCUUUUCUUGCGAAAUGGUGCGCGCGAGAGGGUGGCACGAGCGCGGGCGCGCGGGCGUGAGCCGGUGCGGACGCGAGCUCGCACGGGGUGGGUUUUUUUUUUUUUGUAAACUUAUAAUUUGGCCCCCAGGGCCAUCUCUGGCCUCCUCUUCUCCAUCCUCUGCCUUCUCCCUGCCUACUACUUCAUACAGGUAAACAUAGCAGAAUUAAGUUCCGCAUUUCUAUGUUGUUCUCUUU